CAGACAGACAGACAGAGAGUGCAAAGAUAACAGCAGAGUGGAGAGAGAGGAAGAGGAGGAGCAACAGAGAGUUAAGAGAAACACAGAGAAGCAGAGAGCUGCAUACACAUCAGCAAGUAACUGUAAGAAGGCAAGGGAAAGAGAAGACACAAUAAGGAACAGAAACACAGAAACAGGGGUGAAGAGAAAAGAAAACAAGAAACUAAAGCAAGAGAAGACUUAAAGAAUACACUGAAAGGCUGAGGGAGUUGUUCUCAGCUGGGAAUCCAUCCAGCAGACUGCAGAGACUUCAGUCUGUGUCCAAGAAAACAUACAAAACCAGUGUGACUGGAAGUGUACUGGGAGGACAGACUGGUUACUACCCACAGGGAGCAGACUUCCAAGCAUCAUGGCUGACAAUGUGAAUGAGGAGUCAGAUUAUAAGGAGUCGGGGAAAGAUGAGCUGGACUGGGGCUACGAGGAAGGUGUAGAAUGGGGACUCCAUUUCCCAGCAGCCAAUGGCGAGUACCAGUCUCCUAUUAAUUUAAACUCCAGGGAGGCUCAAUAUGACCCGUCCCUCCUGGAUGUUGGCUUGUCACCAAACUAUGUGGUGUGUCGAGACUGUGAGGUCAUUAAUGAUGGACACACUGUCCGUAUCAUUCUCAAGUCCAAAUCAGUGGUUACCGGAGGUCCGCUGCCUAGUGAUCACGAGUAUGAGCUUCAUGAGGUUCGAUUCCACUGGGGUAAAGAGAACCAGAGAGGAUCAGAGCACACUGUCAACUUCAAGGCUUUCCCUAUGGAGCUCCAUCUGAUUCACUGGAACAGUACUCUGUUUAACACUUUGGAGGAUGCUCUUGGGAAGAAGAAUGGAGUUCUCAUCAUCGCUCUUUUUGUGCAGGUUGGUAAAGAGCAUCUGGGUCUGAAGGCCAUCACUGAAGUUCUACAGGACCUGCAGUACAAGGGGAAGAGCAAGAUAAUCCCCUGCUUCAACCCUAACACUCUGUUACCUGAUCCUUUACUGAGAGACUACUGGGUGUAUGAAGGAUCUCUUACCACUCCACCUUGUAGUGAAAAUGUGACCUGGAUUCUCUACCGCUACCCUCUCACCAUCUCGCAGUUACAGAUUGAAGAGUUCCGGAGGCUGCGCUCCCACGUCAAAGGGGCGGAGCUGCUAGAAGGGAAUGAUGGGUUGUUGGGGGACAACUUUCGUCCCACUCAGCCACUCAGUGACCGGACAGUUCGUGCCGCCUUCCAGUGACUCUCACUGUCCACCGCCAACUCAGAAAAACUAGGGGACCUUCGGAUACAAAUUUGGAAGGAGAAAGCAAAAAGGUGUAAACACAAGAAUGGAAGUAGAGGGAGGAAUGGAGGGAGAAUUGAUGUGGUUGUAGAUCAGCUGCACCCUGAAGGUGGACAAACAAACUAUUGAUCUCACACCCUUGCUGCGUGCUUUUCUGUGUGUGUGUGUGUGUGUGUGUGUGUGUGUGUAGAUGUAACCUCUCACUCCCUCUGUAUAUGAGUGUAACAUCCUCCCUGUGCCUGUAAGCAUACAGUAGAAAUAUGAGUAUUAUUGUGCUAAUGUGUGUGCGUUUAGAAGAUAAGAAGAUUUACAAGUAACCCAUCUCUGCUGUCAAAACAAGAGGAAACACGAGCCACAGAUGUACCUGUACACACACACACACACACACACACACACACACACACACAGCUUCCAACACUCAACAGACGCACAUAUGCUUCACACCAAUAAUGUGCAAACACCUGAGGCUGAGCGUUCUGUCUUAUUGACUUAAAGUGCUGCAGGAGACCUGCUGGACAAGUUUAACACACAGUUCACAAACUAAACUCCUAACUUCAUAUUUUGUUUUCACUCAGUUGAAAAUGAAGUGAAAUGAAAAUAACUUCACAUAAGCAGAAGAAGACAAGCCAUCUUUUCUGGUCAGCCCUCAUUUAACCGUGUAACACCAAGUAACGUUCACUUUUUAAGCUCUUUUGUCAAGAGAUGCUUUAGAAUCUGUCAUAUACCGAAAAUACUGUCAUCAAAUCAAGUCAGUGAAAUUUUAGUCCAGUUUCUUGUUGAGUGCUGUUAUCAGCUCCAACCACAAACUGACAAACUGUAAAAUUCUAGUGGUUUGCUCACAUCACAAGUGGCUUUCCCCUGCAUAUCUCCUGCUAGCUUAGGUCUCACUGAACUGUGGCAGAUUUUUGUUUUUAAUGGUGCACCUAAACUUUCAUCACUGCAAAGAAUCACUGUGUUUGAUGAUUUAAAUCAUAAGCUAGCUCUACUUGACAAAACUUUCCCAACCAGAGUGUGGUGGUUGGCCAAAAAGGUUAAUUAAAAGUUCCACUCUGCCACUGCAGUAAUGGCGAUGGAAUUCGAGAGUGCAGCCAAAGAAACUAAAAAACUUCCUUGAGUGCAGCAUAUAUUCUCUGUUUGCUCUGUAAUGGCUAGCUUUAUGUCAGACUGUUUAGGUUAUAUUCUGGUGUUGAAGCGUGAACACUUUGGCUGAACCACAUCUACAUCCUACCAUUCACUCAGAACAGAUUUGGUCAAAUGAAUUCUGGGUAGUGACUUCUGGGAAAUUCUCCAGCGUAUCUUCCUGCUUUAGACAGUCAGAUAUGAAAUUAAAAGAAAUGUUACGCUGCACCAGCACAUGACCAUCCAAAGCCUUGUGAAUUUCAGUCCAACUGCAGUCAAACUGGGUGAAAACACAGAGUAACACAACAGUUUACAUGUUUUAAUAUCGCUGUCUGUCUUUAUAGUGGCUUGAUUUCAAUUCACCUCCAGAUUCUCCAUCAAUCAGUCUUUUUUUUUUCUUUUUUAAAUAAAAAUCUUCAAGUUUAAAUGACAUCAUCAGAACAUGUAGACUGUUAGCAGUUUUAACCCUCAUUAACGUCAUUGGAACAUGACUCUCAUCAGUCCCCUUCAUAUUAUUUUAGGAAGCAUUGCUUUUACAUGUUUUUUUAAACAUAUUUACAGCUGACAUUAAAAUCUAUAUCUGUACAUGGUAACUGGAUAACACAAAAGGCAUAUUCACGCCAGGUGUAAAUGCAUUCAGACUUCUUUGGGAUCAGAAUGAGAUCAGAUCAGCCAGACCACAUCGAAUUAUAACAUUUGUACUGUGUGUACACAUUCUUGAGAAAAAAACAUUUCAGAGCAAGUUGAAAAGUCAACUAAGUCUGCCUCUUCCUGGAAAUGUAAAGUUCACAAACUAGCAAGACUUUCCUCACAAAAAAGGAUGUGUAUGUGUGUGUGUGUAGUCUUCGAAGGUACUGUCUGACAAAAUGAGCUGAAAUAAACUGUGAUAACUGAUGACUGUUACUGUAUAGCAACAAUAAACUACACCGACUUACCUAAAA